CAGUCGCCGCGGGAAUACGUAGGUGGCAAGCGUUGUCCGGAAUUAUUGGGCGUAAAGGGCUCGCAGGCGGUUUCUUAAGUCUGAUGUGAAAGCCCCCGGCUCAACCGGGGAGGGUCAUUGGAAACUGGGAAACUUGAGUACAGAAGAGGAGAGUGGAAUUCCACGUGUAGCGGUGAAAUGCGUAGAGAUGUGGAGGAACACCAGUGGCGAAGGCGACUCUCUGGUCUGUAACUGACGCUGAGGAGCGAAAGCGUGGGGAGCGAACAGGAUUAGAUACCCGUGUAGUCCCUGUCUCUUAUAC
rnacentral:rRNA from 1 species